CCAUUCUCGACUCCGGCAUAUUUCUAGCACCAUCCAAGCACUGUGCUCUGUAGUUGGCUGGGUUGUGAUUCAGCAUGCCAUUAUUCUUGUUGUAAUUAUUGUCAUCAUACCUCAGUAGUGCAUAUUCAUUUUCCUUCAUAGAGUUAUGGCAAAGUCUGAACUUACCGGCAUGUGAAUUUUUUUCAGAUGUUGGUGUAGUAAUGUUAAAAUUUGUUAGAUAUUUUUUUUCCAGCUUGUUGUCAAGUUGAGUACAGUUCUGUGGUUUAAGCUGAUCGGACAAUCUACUGCAUAAAUACCAUUGAUGUUGGAUAGUAUAUUUGGAUGAAACAAAAUUACGUGGAGAAUGACUGGUUUUGAAAAAUCAUUUUUUCCACACAUUUGGAGUAAGAACGUUUGCACGGAAAAACCAGGUGGCAUCAUUGCAAAGUUUGCGCAAAGAAUACUAUUUCUUUACCUACAAAUUUUACACCUUGUACUAAUAUUUCACAAAGAAGGUUAAUAUUUAAUGUGGUUUAGUGAAGUGUCUGUUUGAGCAGUACGCUGUACGAACUGGUUUGUAUUCCUAGAAGAGUUCUUAUAUAAUAAGAGGUCAUUAGAUUAGACUAAAUAACGUUGACAUGAUUCCAUUUCCCUUAUGAAAAGUCAUAGUUGAAAGUGAUCACACAUAUUGUAACACGCUGUAUGAGGCAACUCUGAAACUCACGAAACAAAACCAGUUUGCUUUUUCUGCAUCAUCACAAACCACUCCGGUUUGACAAACCCUACGUGAGCCUCUCAACCUCCAGACACCGAAUACCCUCCUCCGACAAGAUGUACACAAGUGCCGCCAGAAAAUAGUUCAUAACAAGAAGGGAGCAUCCUUCGAAUAAGAGCCCGAUUUUAGAUUGCUGGCAUUAUUUCCUGCUUUAGUAUAAUAUUUGCCCAAUGAUUUAGAAUAAAUUACCUGUUCACGGUAAUUUAUUUGCUGGUAUACACCUGGGUACAGUUUGACGGCGGAUGGAUAUGUAACAGUAUUUCCCGUCGCACAGUCACGCAGCUUCAGUUGGAGAAGAAGGGCGGUGGCGAGAGAAGCUCCUGAGAUGAGGCAACCAUCUAUCAACGCAAUAUACCGGUGCAGACCAUAUCAACAGAAGGACACCUCCGAUAGAGAAGUGUCAUGCUCUGGUCGACAAGGCCAAUCUCUUUCUGAAAGGAAGUCAGCACAGCUUGCAACAUCUGAUCAUAAAAGGAGGUUCCCAAAACAAUAUUUAACUUCAAUCAAAGGUUACCAUUGGUGGCAGAUCAAAUCGUGACACAACACUGAUAAAAUUUAUGUUCAGUUAUUGUGGCAGAACAUCCAGCUUACUCAGGGUUUGUUACUAUUAGUCAGGUCCAUUGUUACAGCUGUCCAGCCUCUUGGAAACCCAGACUUCGGGGACUGUGCCUCUGGCUCAGUGGGGGCUGGUUCAGCUUAGUUAGAUGGGUGUGUUGGAUGUUCAAGUUGUAAUUUUUUGGGAAGUAAACCCCUUCAAUCAGUUGUCAGCAGCUGACGUAAAGAAAGGCACAAGACGAAGGUUCCCUCAAAUGUCCUCAACAUAUUUUGGUUUGAUGUGACAUUUUAGAAUGAGUAAUGGAACAUUGGCAUGUGAGGUAACGAUAAGGUCGGUUGUUGGAAUUGGUUUUUCUGUUUUUUUGCGAUAGUCGAAACGUUCACCCCUCCUAGGUGGGUACCAGAGCACGACGUGGUCCAGUGUCCCCACUCGUAGGUAAUACGAAGAUUGUGGCAGCAGGAGUGAAGUUUUUCUGAAGUUUCAGUGCAGCUUUUCUGUAUCUUCUCUGUUCAAGAGCUCGCACAAAGGGUGGGUCAGGCUGUUCAACCUCAGUUUUCUGAAAUUCAUUCUGGAGGGCUUUGUUGCGCAUCGCGUGCAGCUGGCUUAUUGCGGCACCGUGUUCGUCAACCAUCCUCCUUAUGUCACAGGUUUCCUCUACCGGUACCCGCUACCUGGUUCUUAGCGGCCGCUGCAAUGUUCUUUUCAGGGCGUCUUUUUGUAUCCGUAUUUAGGUCGUUCCUGAUAGGUUCAGAGGUGAUGAUUUGGUAUUCAGUAGAGCUACUGCCUCCGCGGCUUUGGCUCGGGUAGCUCCCCAUACUUUGGUGUCCGUCUCCACUCAAAUUUGGUCCGAGGUGUCAUAUAGAAUUCCUACCUCUGCAGCCUCCAAAUAACAUGCGACAGGUUCCGUAACCUUCAUAACAUGUUUCCUUGACUUACAACCUUCUCGGUUAACUACCCCUACCCCUGGGUACAGUAGUGCCGGUGGGUUCAAACUCAAAGGCUGCUACACUGGUGGCAUGCUUCACGACUACUUCCAUUCGUUCUGGUGUUUGUUAUCCACUCUUUCCUAGAGUAUUUCUUGUCAAGUACAAGGCUCAGAUCUACACAUUUUGUCUGAAUCUCAACUUUUUAUUUUCUCAAUGCUCUUCCACAAUCAUUCAAUUUCUAACUGAUUAUGGUGACAUGCUCUGUCAACACUUUUAUGAGCCUACAUUUAUAACAGGGAAAAUGUUUGCCUGGCAUCUUUUCAUGGGAAAGUGAGAUACUUGCUGUUCUCAUGAAAAUGCUAAAAAAGGGUUAUAGAUAGCAAUAUAAAGAUAUAGAUAAUGCAAAGGUAUACAUAUACAUAUCCUAGUUAUACAUAUUUCAGUACUUCGUGUUGCUUACUCCGUGACAAACGUCACCUACGAAUUUGAACCAGGACUAAAGAAUUAGAGAUAAAAGGUCCACUUCAGGACCAUUCCACGGCCCCUCCCAUUGCCGGUGCCCCUGAGCACAGGGCGUCGGUCUGCUUGGGCCCAGUCGCGGCGGUCACCACAACCUCGGCCUCGUCCAACCGGCCGACCGCGAUCAUAUAAGGUACUUCGGCGGCCACCACGCCCACGCCAACCGCGACCACGCCCACAAUGGCUACUGCGAGAACGGCUCCGGCGUCUUCUGCCACGCCAAGCCUCGUCCUGGUGCUGGCUCUCUGCACAAAUGGUGAUGUUACUUAGGCACCAUGCUACCUCUCUGGAUACCCUCUCCGACUCCACUGAUACUCCAUGAUCCUUCAGAAGUCUUUGAGAAAUACCAUUUGGUAAAGAUAAUGACAUUGCAUGUGUAAGGGUAGAAGAUGGAAAAAGAGUCAGGGAAGAAAUUGAUCAGUAUUAAGAACAAACCUGCGAAGCUUUCGGUACUGGUUCCAGUUGAACCAAAGUUUGGCAGCAUCAAUUUGCAAGAUAUUUCUAUAUAUGUUGCCCAAGCUGUACAUUUGACUUACAUGCCCACUUUUAGGAAUUUUCAGUAAGGAAGUUCAUAAUUUCCCGAUAGUGAUCUGCAAACGCAUCAAGCUGGCCUCUAGGAAUUUGCCUGCCAUUUUUUUCUUGUAGGUUUUUUUGUUGGUUCUUUCCUUUGCACUUCCAGUUUUCGAAGGGGAAAUCAGGUUUCCCAGCAUCGGCUAACUCACGGUGGACAAGACAGAAACCAAUGCAUUGCUCCUUUAGGUGUUCUAGAAAAGGUUCACUCCCUCUAGACCACAUGACCAUGAAGUUAAUGAAUGUAUCUGACGCGGGUGGCAUUCAUCUGAAAAUAGAUUUGCAUUUGUAUUCAGAUACAAACACUUAAAGUGCCUUAGAAAGCUGUUCAUAUGUCAGCUUACAUUUGUACCUUCGGCAGGUUUGUGGCUCUAACUUAGCCAGUUCAGGGUGCAGCUUGUGAGGUUCAAUUUCAGGUACAACUACGACCUCCUCAUCAUGAUCAGAAUCUGAGCAGGUGUCUGUCCAGUGUCUGUCAUGGCCUGAUGAUGAAGUGGAGGGAACUGAAAGUGAUGUUUUCUUUUCUGUUUCUGCAGGAUUGACUCUGAUAUUUUGACUCACUUGAGUGUUUAAAGACAUGUUGGGUUUGAUGAUUUGUCCUCGAGAGUCAUGCACAAGUAGCGCUGCAAUGGCAGGGUUUCGUGCCAGGAGAUGGCGAUUAAGUCGGAUACAUUUGUUGUGUCUUCUCUAUCGAGUGCUCCAUAGACUUGGACACGUUCUUUCUAUAGGUGAAGGCAGUGUCCUCAAACCCAUGUAACAUGUUCUCAACUAGAUCCUGCACGUCAGAAUUCCGGUAGUCCAGUUUUCUUUCAAAACCACAUUGACGCUGACGUCAUACUCGCUAAAGUAGCGGUCGUCUUGCUCAAGGAAAGGCAACGUCGCCGACGUAAGCUUUGAACACGUGUCUAAGCGUUCCAUGAUCACUUACAGGGGAUACAGUCUUAAUUUCAACCCCUGUGUAGCAAAACGUCUUCUCGAGCUAAAGCUAAUAGUCUACAUUAAAUGCAUUAAAGAGUGAGCAGAUGAGGCUACCAAACGUGUCGUCUUCCGUGUAUGUUUCAUACGGGAUUUCUCCCCUGUAGAACCCCUGUAGAUUGCGUUCAGCUAAGAACUGUACAGAUCACUAUUGUUUAUUUGUACAUAUUGUAUACGCCACACAUGUGCAUUAUGGACAUGUUUCUAGAUCUGACACCGUAUGUGGCAUUGUUUAUUAUAGUAGGAAAAUGGAAAUAUAGCUUCCUUUUCAAUGUGAUGACAAACGAAUGACUUAGCUUGUAUAGUUGCCUAAACUUGGAAUGAGAAUUUACUCAA